CAGUGACAUAGUUCACAGCUCUUAAGGCUCCUUGUAGUUUACAGAGAGGAUAUGUAUACAGUACAUGCAGUUGUCCAUUGUUGUUCAGAACAUCCUCCCCAAAGAUCACAAUAUUAGGGUCAGAAGACAGAACUUUGUGGCUAGAAAGCAUCACUAGCGGCAUGCUAGGCUGUGUUCGCAGGAGAUCAAAGGCUCAUGCCGCUGACAAAAUCCAGAAAAAAGCUGCUGUAUAAUGAAUAUUCUAGCGUUUAACUGAGAAUCUACACAUGAACGGGAUCUCCAAGGGAUGUUAUAGACCAGGAAAUGACAGUGUUUACGUUGCACAUGUUAACACGGCCACACGGAAAAAGUUUGCCCGCUUCACCAGAAUUACAAAGAAACUUGAAUGUGUUCCCAGAGGCAUGUACCGUCUGUCAAAUGAUGAUGCACAAUGAUUGCCAUCGGCUUCUGAGAUUGAAAGAUGUUGGAUUUUUUUGUGUGUGUUUAUGAGUAUUAGGCGGUUACAUACCAAUGCGGGGCGGGUAAGGCCUGUUCUGGAAGGCUCUCUCCUCUUCCUCCUCAUCAUCCUUCUCCUCCUCGCUCUCAGCAGGCAGAAGCUCCUCAGUGGUGCGCGUCUCGGAGAAGGAGGUGGUCAUGAGCUCACUGAUGUCGCCUCUUUCUGCCUUGACCAGCUCCUCUAUAAGCCAAUGCAUAAAUAGACUGAAUUAAUGCACAGGGAUUUUAGAUUCAAAAACUAGUGAAAUGAUGGGUGAUAACAUUUAGGCUUACGGAUAUCGUCGUGCAGCUCCUCUGCUAAGUUGGGAUCCUUGUACAGCAGGGCAAGACUCUGGUUCAUCCUCUCCUCAAUAA